CGCCAGGACCAACCCCAGCAUAGUCCGCUCCUGGAAAUUCAUAAAACCCAGGAGAUUACGUCUCGUCGUCGUUGUGAAAUGCGGAUUGAUCGUUAGCUGAAGUUGGAGAAUAAUUGUAAAUCGAAGGUAUACGAAGAGACGUACACAGGCGACGGUAGUUCGGCACGUCUGAGGAAUUCCAUUCGCCAAUCAAUUCCAUGCAGCGGGCCAAAUGCUGUCGAUGUUUGUCAAGGCAAGAGAACACCGAAGUCAACGGUCAAUUAUUUUACAACAAGGUUUGCAACGCGGUUUGUCGAUCCGCACGCCGAGGAAUGUUCCCGAGGGAUUUGCUCCAGGUUCAUUCUAGGAAGAUAAAUUAUUUAGAAGGAAAGCCGUCUUGUUCCCUGCCCACAAACACUGCAGCGUUACUUUUUUAAAGCCCAAUUUCCUGCCGCUCCGAAGCUGAGCCCUUCUGCGAUUUUCGUCGCCGAACAACUAUUGAACGUUUCAUAAACCGCGAGUGCUGUUCAAUUUUUGACAAUUCGCGAUCAACUCGUGAAAUUCGAGCUGGCGAGACGUUCACAGAUGAUUACGAUCCGGGUACCACGAUUAGGAUGGUUCGAAAAACAUGCGCUGCAAAACUUUUUCGUUUAAUGUGCUUACCGAGUUUAUAAUUUACCACGUUUAACAAGGAUAUAGUUAAUAAUGCAUGGUAUAAGUAUCGACGAUUCGAAUUUCCGGUUGUAUAAUAUAAUUCGUCGUGCUUCAUUAACGGGUUAUUAUAUUAGAAAAAAAAUCGACGUGAUUAUUUAUUCUUCUUCAUCUUAGUCUUCAGUUUCCGUAAGCAAAUGUCAAGGACUUCCCGACGUUCGACAUAGGAACA